UACGUAGGGGGCAAGCGUUGUCCGGAAUCAUUGGGCGUAAAGAGCGUGUAGGCGGCCCGAUAAGUCCGCCGUGAAAGCCCAGGGCUCAACCCUGGGAUGCCGGUGGAUACUGUCGGGCUAGAGUGCGGAAGAGGCGAGUGGAAUUCCUGGUGUAGCGGUGAAAUGCGCAGAUAUCAGGAGGAACACCUAUUGCGAAGGCAGCCCGCUGGGCCACACCUGACGCUGAGGAGCGAAAGCCAGGGGAGCAAACGGG
rnacentral:rRNA from 1 species